rnacentral:rRNA from 1 species
CCUACGGGGGGCAGCAGUGAGGAAUAUUGGUCAAUGGGAGAGAUCCUGAACCAGCCAAGCCGCGUGAGGGAAGACGGCCCUAUGGGUUGUAAACCUCUUUUGUCGGAGAACAAAACCCGGGACGUGUCCCGGACUGCGUGUAUCCGAAGAAAAAGCAUCGGCUAACUCCGUGCCAGCAGCCGCGGUAAUACGGAGGAUGCGAGCGUUAUCCGGAUUUAUUGGGUUUAAAGGGUGCGUAGGCGGUCCGUUAAGUCAGCGGGAAAAUUGCGGGGCUCAACCCCGUCGAGCCGUUGAAACUGGCAGACUUGAGUUGGCGAGAAGGACGCGGAAUGCGCGGUGUAGCGGUGAAAUGCAUAGAUAUCGCGCAGAACUCCGAUUGCGAAGGCAGCGUACCGGCGCCAGACUGACGCUGAGGCACGAAAGCGUGGGGAUCGAACAGGAUUAGAUACCCUUGUAGUC